rnacentral:lncRNA from 1 species
GGGAUGUCUCAUCUUGUAGUUUGAGUGCGUAGUCAAAUUAACUGAACACUACCUUGCCCCAGGUUAAAUGUAAGGGUUUGUAAAUCCGAAAGAAACUCCUACUUCUAGGCUCGAAGUGGUUGACUAGGGAUUAACUCCUUAUCUCUCCAGUGUUUGGGGAUUUGAAACAAUGCCUGUACAUCAUCAGCAAGGUUUUAUCCGAAAGCAUACAAUCAACAAUUAUGGGUAUUUUUUCG